UACCCUUGACAUGUCCGGAACUUGCCAGAGAUGGCUUGGUGCCCGAAAGGGAAAUCGGAACACAGGUGCUGCAUGGCUGUCGUCAGCUCGUGUCGUGAGAUGUUGGGUUAAGUCCCGCAACGAGCGCAACCCUUAUCAUUAGUUGCUACGCAAGGGCACUCUAAUGAGACUGCCGGUGACAAACCGGAGGAAGUGGGGAUGACGUCAAGUCCUCAUGGCCCUUAUGGGUAGGGCUUCACACGUCAUACAAUGGUCGGUACAGAGGGUUGCCAAGCCGCGAGGCGGAGCCAAUCCCACAAAGCCGAUCGUAGUCCGGAUUGUUCUCUGCAACUCGAGAGCAUGAAGUCGGAAUCGCUAGUAAUCGCAGGUCAGCAUACUGCGGUGAAUACGUUCCCGGGUCUU
rnacentral:rRNA from 1 species